rnacentral:lncRNA from 1 species
GAUUAUGAUGAAGAUGAGGAUGAUGAGGAUGAGGAUGAGGAGGAUGUGGAGGAGGAUGAAGAUGAGGAGGAGGAGGAUGAUGAGGAGGAUGGGGAUGAGAAUGAAGAUGAUGAUGAGGAUAAGGAUGAUGAUGAGGAUGAGGAUGAUGAGGAGGAGGAUGAAAAUGAUGAGGAUGGGGAUGAUGAGGAUGUUGAGGAUAGAGAUGAUGAUGAAAAUGAUGAGGAUGAGGAUGAUGAGGAUAAGGAUGAUGAGGAGGAGGAGGAUGACGGUGAUGAGGAUGAGGUUGAUGAGGAAGAUGAGGAUGAGGAUGAGGUUGAUGAGGAAGAUGAGGAUGAGGAUGAGGAUGAUGGUGAGGAUGAUGAGGAGGAGGAUGGGGAUGAUGAAGAUGAUGAGGAUGAGGAUGAUGAGGAUGAGGAUGAGGAUGAAGGUGAUGAGGAUGAUGAGGAUGAUGAGGAUGGAGAUGAUGAGGACGAGGAAGAUGAGGAUGAUGAGGAUGAAGAGGAGGAAGAUGAUGAGGAUGAGGAUGUUGAGGAUGAGGAUGAGGAUGAUGAGGAUGGGGAUGAGUAUGAGGAGGAUGAUGAUGAAGAUGAGAACAAUGAGGACGAGGGUGGGGAUGAGGAUGGGGAUGAGGAUGAUGGGGAUGAUGAGGAUGAAGGUGCUGAGGAUGAGGAUGAAGAUGAUGAGGAGGAGGAGGAGGAUGAGGAUGAGGAUGAGGAUGGGGAGGAUGGGGAUGAGGAUGAUGAGGAUGAUGAGGAUGAAGAUGAUGAGGAUGAAGGUGAUGAGGAUGAGGAUGAUGAGGAUGAUGAGGAUGGGGAUGAUGAGGAUGAGGAAGAUGAGGAUGGAGAUGAUGAUGAGGAUGAGGAUGAAGAUGAGGAGGAGGAUGAAGAUGAUGACGAGGAAGAUGAGGAUGAGGAGGAUGAGGAGGAUGAGGAUGAGGAUGGGGAUGAUGAGGAUGAUGAUGGGGAUGAGGAUGAAGAUGAGGAUGGGGUUGAGGAUGAAGGUGAGGAUGGGGAUGGGGAUGAUGAGGAUGAAGGUGAUGAGGAUGAGAUUGAUGAGGAAAAUGAGGAUGAUGAGGAUGAGGAUGAUGAGGAGGAUG